ACAUUGGUGGUUUGGUGGUAGAAUUCUCACUUUCCAUGUAGGAGACCCAGGUUGAAUUCCUGGCCAAUGCA
rnacentral:tRNA from 1 species